AUAUGUGUAGCAAUGAGGUUUUAUCACAUGCACCUGGCAGGCUAGAUGUUGACACACACUGGCAGGCUGCGUUGUGACACGGCAGAAGAAUUGAACGUUUUGAAUUUGACUAGGUUGUCAACGAUCAGAAAAUUUUAUGAUCAGAAGAAUUUUAGCUUUCGUGUAAAACACAACACAUGCUAAAUUGGCGCCCAACGUGGGGCUCCGACCAUACCGCGAACUAGGCACGCUGCAAGAGCUGCCAUGGACGCAGACAAUGAGGCUACGGAGCAGAGUCCUGUACGGGCCCCCGAACUUGUCACAGCGCCUCGUCUGACCGUGCCGGCAUAAUGCAGGCGGAUACGAAUAGGUGCCCAAUAGAGACGCUGCGGUCGUUGCCAAUUGCCGGCGCCUCAUGGCAGUCACCAUCGUCACCGUCGCUGAACAUCACUACGAGUUCGUCCUGGAACUUCGCAAAGUGUACCGCGAGGUUCACCGGUACUUCUCAAGAAAAUGCAGGCGGAUACGAAUAGGUGCCCAAUAGAGACGCUGCGGUCGUUGCCAAACGCCGGCUCCUCAUGGCAGUCACCAUCGUCACCGUCGCUGAACAUCACUACGAGUUCGUCCUGGAACUUCGCAAAGUGUACCGCGAGGUUCACCGGUACUUCUCAAGAAAAUGCAGGCGGAUACGAAUAGGUGCCCAAUAGAGACGCUGCGGUCGUUGCCAAACGCCGGCGCCUCAUGGCAGUCACCAUCGUCACCGUCGCUGAACAUCACUACGAGUUCGUCCUGGAACUUCGCAAAGUGUACCGCGAGAUUCACCGGUACUUCUCAAGAACCGGAGGUACUAGAAACCUUCAUCGACGCGGUCCAGGUAUACAAGGAGUGUGCGGACGUGAGUGACGAUCACGCGCUGCGGGGACUCCCGAUGCUGUUAGAGGGCGACGCCA